rnacentral:lncRNA from 1 species
GUAGCUAGACAAAAAGAAGUGAAAUAUUAUUAAUAGUAGAAAGAUGGAAUAUGUAUACUAUUGAAGGUAGGAAAUGGUUUUGAGGUUUAAAAUAAUUAUCACUGUCAAUGAUAACUCUAUAGAAUAUUAAACAAAUAAUUGCUGAUGUUCUAACCAAACUUCUGAGUUGAGUUAAUCGGAUCGGGUCUUUAUGAGGUGAGUUUCGAGAAUUUCGUAGUUCAUCAAUAGUAAAUUCAGAUUCAAAAAAAAAAAAAAAAAAAAAA